AAAUGGUCGCAAGCGCCAGGACUGGGCAGGACGGAACGAGAUGUGUGCUCCAGUUGACGCGGUGGAGGUUGGCGAAGGACUCGGCGGGUGCCUCCCGGUGUUGAUUCGCACCGCGAAGAUCAAUGAGAAAACGGCAAGGCGACUUGCCUGACAGAUCUUGGUCAGAAUCAGAA
rnacentral:ncRNA from 2 species